GUCGAGGAUCUUCUGCAAUGGGCGCAAGCCUGACAGAGCGACGCCGCGUGGAGGAUGAAGGCCUUCGGGUUGUAAACUCCUGUCACGGGUUAUGAAUGGCGACGUGCUAACACCACGGCGCUUGACAAAGGCCCGAGAGGAAGCCACGGCUAACUCCGUGCCAGCAGCCGCGGUAAGACGGAGGUGGCAAGCGUUGCUCGGAUUUACUGGGCAUAAAGGGCGCCUAGGCGGUGCGGCAAGUCGACUGUGAAAUCCCUCGGCUCAACCGAGGAAGUGCAGCCGAAACUGCCGCGCUAGAGGACGAGAGGGAAGAGUGGAACUCCUGGUGGAGCGGUGAAAUGCGUAGAUAUCAGGAGGAACGCCGGUGGCGAAAGCGACUCUUUGGCUCGUUCCUGACGCUGACGCGCGAAAGCUAGGGGAGCGAACGGGAUUAGAAACCCGAGUAGUCC
rnacentral:rRNA from 1 species